rnacentral:rRNA from 1 species
CCUACGGGCUGCACCAGUGGGGAAUAUUGCACAAUGGGCGCAAGCCUGAUGCAGCCAUGCCGCGUGUAUGAAGAAGGCCUUCGGGUUGUAAAGUACUUUCAGCGGGGAGGAAGGUGUUGUGGUUAAUAACCGCAGCAAUUGACGUUACCCGCAGAAGAAGCACCGGCUAACUCCGUGCCAGCAGCCGCGGUAAUACGGAGGGUGCAAGCGUUAAUCGGAAUUACUGGGCGUAAAGCGCACGCAGGCGGUCUGUCAAGUCGGAUGUGAAAUCCCCGGGCUCAACCUGGGAACUGCAUUCGAAACUGGCAGGCUAGAGUCUUGUAGAGGGGGGUAGAAUUCCAGGUGUAGCGGUGAAAUGCGUAGAUAUUAGGAGGAACACCAGUGGCGAAGGCGGCCUGCUGGACAUUAACUGACGCUGAGGAGCGAAAGCGUGGGGAGCAAACAGGAUUAGAUACCCGCGUAGUC